CCUACGGGUGGCUGCAGUGGGGAAUAUUGCACAAUGGGCGCAAGCCUGAUGCAACCAUGCCGCGUGUGUGAAGAAGGCCUUCGGGUUGUAAAGCACUUUCAGCGGGGAGGAAGGCGGUGAGGUUAAUAACCUCAUCGAUUGACGUUACCCGCAGAAGAAGCACCGGCUAACUCCGUGCCAGCAGCCGCGGUAAUACGGAGGGUGCAAGCGUUAAUCGGAAUUACUGGGCGUAAAGCGCACGCAGGCGGUCUGUCAAGUCGGAUGUGAAAUCCCCGGGCUCAACCUGGGAACUGCAUUCGAAACUGGCAGGCUAGAGUCUUGUAGAGGGGGGUAGAAUUCCAGGUGUAGCGGUGAAAUGCGUAGAGAUCUGGAGGAAUACCGGUGGCGAAGGCGGCCCCCUGGACAAAGACUGACGCUCAGGUGCGAAAGCGUGGGGAGCAAACAGGAUUAGAUACCCUAGUAGUC
rnacentral:rRNA from 1 species